UUAAACUGAAGAGUUUGAUCAUGGCUCAGAUUGAACGCUGGCGGCAGGCUUAACACAUGCAAGUCGAGCGGGGCGAAGGUA
rnacentral:rRNA from 1 species